rnacentral:rRNA from 1 species
CCUACGGGAGGCAGCAGUAGGGAAUCUUCCACAAUGGACGAAACUCUGAUGCAGCGACGCCGCGUGAGUGAAGAAGUAUUUCGGUAUGUAAAGCUCUAUUAGUAGGGAAGAAAAAGAAGGUACGUAACUAAAAAUCCCCGGCCAACUACGUGCCAGCAACCGACGGAAUACGUAGGGCGCAAGCGUUCUCCGGAUGUAAUGGGUGUAAAGGGAGCGUAGGCGGCUGCACAAGUCUGGAGUGAAAGGCCGGGGCUGAACCCCGGAGGGGCAUUGGAAACUGUGCAGCUGGAGUGCAGGAGAGGUGAGUGGAAUUCCUAGUGUAGCGGUGAAAUGCGUAGAUAUAAGGAGGAACACCAGUGGCGAAGGCGGCUGACUGGACUGUAACUGACGUUGAGGCUCGAAAGCGUGGGGAGCAAACAGGAUUAGAUACCCUAGUAGUC